GAAGCAAUAAAUCAUAUAAUGCAGCCCGUGAAUCUUUCUUCAGGUGUUUCUGCUUGUUGCAGCCCCUUCAUCUGAGCCCCAAGACAGUGAUAGGGUCAGAUUGCUUCUUUAUCUGAGAUAGGAAGGAGCUUGAGGAACGGGCUGUCUUCUCCAAGUCAUAGGCCUCCUUGAAUCCUGUUUAAUAAGAAACAGAAUUAAUUCCAUGAAGCAUAGGAUCCCUUUCAUAGGGAGUACUAGAAACUAGUUUGCCUGUCUGGCUCCUGGCUCCUGCCUGCUGCUAGUUACCAAAGAAAUAACAUUGCUGUUUUUAGCAGAAGCAGAAGCAUUCUCAAUUCCUGACUCAGAGCUUACUACUAGGCUAUAGUUAUCAGAACAUUGUCUGUUUUUUUUUUUUUUUGGUCUGCUCAGAACAUUUUGAACCAACAUUACCUCAGUGCAUUCUGAAUGACUGCAUUAUCUGUGCAGAACUUCAGGACUGUGAGCAGAAAUGAAAUGGCAGCUUCUACGAAGAAUUGCACCAUAGUAUAACUGUCCCUAUGGUAAUAAGUCAAAAUGGAUGUAAAUGCAAAUCUUCAGAAAAAAAACCAAGAGUGUUUAACUCUCUUUGAUUUCAGUGACACUCAGAUACCUUAAUGCUUUUGAAAGUCUGUGUUUGAUUUUCCUCAUUAAGAAGAAUAGAUCAAGAAUAUUUUCUCCUUUUCUGAAUAACAGGAUACAUGAAAAAUUAAUCCCUGAUAGAUACAAGUUGGCUUUCUGAUUUAUGGACAGAAAGGGUGAUUAAAUCUUUCAGAUAUUUUGUCUGUUUGCUUGUAAAAAUAAUAAAAAAUGACAUUCAUUUAGAUAAUCA
rnacentral:lncRNA from 1 species